rnacentral:rRNA from 1 species
GAUCUCCUACGGGAGGCAGCAGUGGGGAAUAUUGGACAAUGGGGGCAACCCUGAUCCAGCCAUGCCGCGUGUGUGAAGAAGGCCUUAGGGUUGUAAAGCACUUUCAGUGGUGAGGAAGGUUGCGAGGUUAAUACCCUUAUAAUUUGACGUUAGCCACAGAAGAAGCACCGGCUAACUCUGUGCCAGCAGCCGCGGUAAUACAGAGGGUGCAAGCGUUAAUCGGAAUUACUGGGCGUAAAGCGCGCGUAGGUGGUUUGUUAAGUCGGAUGUGAAAUCCCCGGGCUCAACCUGGGAACUGCACCCGAUACUGGCAGGCUAGAGUACAAUAGAGGGGUGUGGAAUUUCCUGUGUAGCGGUGAAAUGCGUAGAUAUAGGAAGGAACACCAGUGGCGAAAGCGGCA